rnacentral:misc_RNA from 1 species
GAUGAAGAACGUAGCGAAAUGCGAUAAGUAAUGUGAAUUGCAGAAUUCAGUGAAUCAUCGAAUCUUUGAACGCAUCUUGCGCUCCUUGGUAUUCCUUGGAGCAUGCCUGUUUGAGUAUCAUGAGCAAAUCUCAAAGUCAAUUCCUUUUGUUGAUUCAAUUGGUUUUGCUUUGGACUUGGAGGCCUUGCAGAUUUCACAGUCUGCUCCUCUUAAAUGCAUUAGCUGGAUCUCAGUAAUUAUGCUUGGUUCCACUCGGCGUGAUAAGUAUCACUCGCUGAGGACACUGUUAAAAAGGUGGCCAGGAAAAUACUGAUUGAACCGCUUCUAACGGUCUAUUAAGUUAGACAAUUACCCUUAAGUCUGAUCUCAAAUCAGGUAGGACUACCCGCUGAACUUAAGCAUAUCAAUAAGCGGAGGA